rnacentral:rRNA from 1 species
CGUAGGGUGCGAGCGUUAAUCGGAAUUACUGGGCGUAAAGCGUGCGCAGGCGGUUUAGUAAGACAGGCGUGAAAUCCCCGGGCUCAACCUGGGAACUGCGCUUGUGACUGCUAAGCUAGAGUACGGCAGAGGGGGGUGGAAUUCCACGUGUAGCAGUGAAAUGCGUAGAGAUGUGGAGGAACACCAAUGGCGAAGGCAGCCCCCUGGGUCGAUACUGACGCUCAUGCACGAAAGCGUGGGUAGCAAACAGGAUUAGAUACCCUGGUAGUCCACGCCCUAAACGAUGUCAACUAGGUGUUGGGAGGGUAAAACCUUUUAGUACCGGAGCUAACGCGUGAAGUUGACCGCCUGGGGAGUACGGCCGCAGGGUUA